GAUGAACGCUGGCGGCGUGCCUAAUACAUGCAAUUCGAGCGAACAGACGAGGAGCUUGCUCCUCUGACGUUAGCGGCGGACGGGUGAGUAACACGUGGAUAACCUCCCUAUAAGACGGGGAUAACUUCGGGAAACCGGAGCUAAUACCGGAUAAUAUAUUGAACCGCAUGGUUCAAUAUUGAAAGACGGUUUUGCUGUCACUUAUAGAUGGAUCCGCGCCGCAUUAGCUAGUUGGUAAGGUAACGGCUUACCAAGGCAACGAUGCGUAGCCGACCUGAGAGGGUGAUCGGCCACACUGGAACUGAGACACGGUCCAGACUCCUACGGGAGGCAGCAGUAGGGAAUCUUCCGCAAUGGGCGAAAGCUUGACGGAGCAACGCCGCGUGAGUGAUGAAGGUCUUCGGAUCGUAAAACUCUGUUAUUAGGGAAGAACAAAUGUGUAAGUAACUAUGCACGUCUUGACGGUACCUAAUCAGAAAGCCACGGCUAACUACGUG
rnacentral:rRNA from 1 species